rnacentral:rRNA from 1 species
UACGUAGGCAGCGAGCGUUGUUCGGAGUUACUGGGCGUAAGGGGCGUGUAGGCGGUUUGUUAAGUUUGGCGUGAAAGCUCUCGGCUAAACCGGGAGAGGUCGUUGGAUACUGGCAAACUAGAGGACGGUAGAGGCGUGUGGAAUUCCGGGUGUAGUGGUGAAAUGCGUAGAGAUCCGGAGGAACACCUGCGGCGAAGGCGGGUUGCUGGGCUGACACUGACGCUGAGGCGCGAAAGCUAGGGGAGCGAACGGG